ensembl:lncRNA
GGAACUGGAUUAAACUAGUGCAAACAUCUUCCUUCCUUUUCGCAACAGAACAGAAAGUCUCCUCACAUAUGAGAAACAUUGCGACAUACUUAUGUUGUACAUACCAGCAAGACAGAUCUUGUAAGUGAAUGUGUCCCCUUAUCACCUAACAGACUUUGAAAGACACACACUUCUGAUUUGUUAAUGACUUUAGGUCUGAUAUUUAUUUACAAAAACCUUAUUUGGAAUUCAUAUACACAAUACAAACAUAAUUCAGUGUAAUAGAAAAUUGGUUAUACAAUAGUUCAUCAUGCUGUAUUAUUUUUUAUUUGUUUCCUUGAUUUUAUGUUUUACCAGACAGUGUCUGAUGAACAUAAUUAAAUGUAAUUAUGCCUAUGAAAGUCAUUUUUAUCAGGAAAAUAUUAUGGCCUUAAGGCCUGAACAGAAUUAUUGUACAUUAUUGCUAGUUAAUCUUCUUGAUACAACAGGGUGCGAACAAAAAAGUUCACAAAAUUGUGUAGUGUAAUGUAGUGUGCAGUGUGUAGUGUAGUGUGUAAUGCAGUGUGUAUUGUAGUGUGUAGUGUAAUGUCUAGUGUAUUGUAGUGUAGUGUUUAGUGUAGUGUGUAUUGUAGUGUAGUGUUUAGUGUAGUGUGUACUGUAGUAUAGUGUAGUGUGUAUUGUAGUGUAGUGUAUAUUGUAGUAUAGUGUAGUGUGUAUUGUAGUGUAGUGUAGUGUAUAUUGUAGUAUAGUGUAGUGUAGUGUGUAUUGUAAUGUAGUGUUGUGUAUUGUAGUGUAUUGCAGUGUUUAGUGUAGUGUGUAUUGUAAUGUAGUGUGUAGUGUAGGGUGUACUGUAGUGUAGUGCAGUGUGUAGUGUUUAUUGUAAUGUGUGUAGUGUAAUGUAUUGUAGACAAGUGCAUUAUAGUGUAUUGUAAUGUAUUAUAAUGGUGUAUUGUAUUGUUUUGUAGUGUACUGUUGUGUAUAGUGUAUCGUAGUGUCUAGUGUAGUGUAUUGUAGUGUGUAGUGUAGUGUGUUGUAUUAUAUUGUAGUGUAUUAUAGUGUAGUGUUUUGUAGUAGUUAGAAGUUGUACAUGAACAAGACCAGACUUUAUUCAAAACUGAAAUAUUUUAGAUAUUGUUUCCCUCCACUGGGAAUUGAUCUGUGGUUUCCAUCAAACA